UACGGAGGGGGCAAGCGUUAUUCGGAAUUAUUGGGCGUAAAGGGCGCGUAGGCGGCUAGAUGUGUCAAAGGUGAAAUCCCUCGGCUCAACUGAGGAACUGCCUUUGAAACUGUCUGGCUUGAGGCCGGGAGAGGGUAGCGGAAUUCCCGGUGUAGCGGUGAAAUGCGUAGAUAUUGGGAGGAACACCAGUGGCGAAGGCGGCUACCUGGACCGGUUCUGACGCUGAGGCGCGAAAGCGUGGGUAGCAAACAGG
rnacentral:rRNA from 1 species